rnacentral:rRNA from 1 species
AUGGCUGUUGCGCAUGUCUUCUUCUCCUUCUCCGUUCAGCCACUACACCAUUCGCCUUCACUGGUGGCCAGAAUUGGUGGCCGGAGCGGACGCAACCAUGCCUUCUUCCGCCCGUCAACCGUGAUAUGUCCCGGGCGGGAGCCCGCGUCACAUGAGCUGCCCGAUGAUUUUGACUUCCAGGAAAGCCUAAGGAAUGUUCAAACAUUGUUGCAUCACCAUCCGACGUGUCGACGAGGCUUAUUGACCACUGUUGAUCACCUCAAGCGCCUCUGCAUUGACCGCUAUUUCCAAGAUGAGAUUGACACCAUCAUGGACUCAUGUGCAGAUCUCAUCCAUAGUGACGAUCUGCUUGAUGCAACGCUUUCCAUGAGGCUGAUGAGAGAAGCUGGAUAUUAUGUUUCGGCAGGUCAAUAA